CCCGGCCCCUCCCGGGCUGAGCUCAGCGCUGACGUGGGCAGAGCUGGGGAUGCUCUUACUCAGCCCGAGCAGCAGCACCUGCCCCUAAUGAGCAGCUUGGCUUCGAGGGCUCCCUUCUUCCCUGGAAGGGCGCGUUCCCGAAGCCCGGAGCUGCCGGGCCGGGAGCGAUCCGGGCUGUGGGGAGGGCGCCGUGCGCUCCUCCAUCCCUCGCUGUGUCUGUCCUGCCUUCCCACCACCCGCAUUCUGGGCGUUCUGGUCUCUGAUCUCACCUUUUGAGGGGCUGAUUCCUGCUAGAAAACCCCUCUGCCAGGGCGACCAGAGCCGGGGCUCAGCCUGGCCCCCAGAACGUGCCGGCACCGUCCCGGGCUGCGGGGAAGGAGGAGCAGAGGGACAAACUGGCUGAACUCGUUGCGCUGGGGGCAUUUGGGAAGGGUGGCUGGUGAGUGGCAUGCUAACCAUUGUGUCCAGCCUUUAAGGAAUGCGUGCAGGAUCCAGCAGGGCAGCGGCACUUUGGUGAGUCACGGCACGGACACGCGGAUUCAGCCGGGAUUUCAGCACAAGCCACCUGUAAUUGCACAUUAGUGCAGGGAUGCUUCAGGUAAUCAACUGUUCCAGCCACGCCAGAAAGGGGGGAAGGGAGCAGGGCUGGAGGGGUGGCCGUGCCUCCAACCCCUCCUUGGAUUACAAGGCAAAAAUAUAGGGCACGCAAACCGCCCGGGGAGCGCUGGCUUCCCCUUUGAAGGCAGGGUGACACUGCUCCAGCUGAGCCCGGGCCUCGAUAGCGGCGAGAUAAGGAGGGUAAACACGCCGUGGUGCUGGAGAGGGCAAGGAUCAACCACCGCAGGCAGCCGGGGCUGCGUCCCCAUCCCAAAGCGAGAGCCGAGCUGCUGGCGCUGAAACCGAGCUCUGGGAAACGCGAGUUCUCACCUGCACACACAGAGAUAACGAAUCUCACAACUCACAGCCCCACAUCAUCUCACAGCCCCACAGGUACAGGAGGGCAAGGACAGCCCGUCCUUGGCUCCCUUGUGCAACACUUCCAGGCUGGGUGACGAGGCAAUUCAUUUCUUUUCCUCCUUUCCUCAGGAAACGCCUCUGCCGCGGCUGUCAGUCAUUGCCCGGAACACCUCGGGAUGCCAGUAGAGGAUUUCAAUCAAAUUUGUCAGAGCCAUCGUGUUUCUACAAGCUGGAAUGUGUGUCCGGGCUCGGGGAUCCACCCAGGCGAGGCAGCGCAAACCGGCAGCACCUUCCAGCCCCGCCACGUGCGGCUCAUUCCUGCGAGGAAGAGGAGCAGGGAAGAGCCGGCAUCCGGCACCCGGGGCUUCGGGGGAAGCUGGAAUGCUGCGGGGCAGGCGAGAGCUGGUCCCUGCUUGGGAUGGCUCAGGAGGGACGGGAACGCCCGAGCUGCUCCUUGCAGGCUGCAUCCCAGCAGUGGGAGGCUCCAUUUCUAGCUAGAGGAUGAAUUUCAAAAGCUAUCACACAGGGAAUCACAGCUGGGGACUCUGCUCUGGAGACAGGACCUGCCCAAGGGAUGGUUUCCAGCAUGGAAGAGAUCCUGGAGGACACAGUGACAGCUGGAAAUGACUGACCAGUGACCUGGAUGGUUUGUGCUUCAAAGGACAAGCCUCACCUUCCCCAAGAGCCCAGCUGGCCUCUGGCUUUGUGCAUUAAAAUCACUGCAUGUCAAAAAAACAAAAAAAAAACACAAAAAACCAAAACAACAACAACAACAAAAAAAAAAAAAUCGGAAGAGCAGCAUUUCAAAUUCCCCUAGAAAAGACAGGAUUAGGUAUGGCAGCCUGGGGCAGGCUUCUGGACAAAUCACCUGCCUCAUCAUUUAGGAACUCAACUAUAUUUUGGCACUGAAGACUUGGGAGCUUGAAGAAAUCCAAGUGUAGGUCCCUGCUGCCUUUUUGCCCAGCCAGCUCUGCACAGCAUUUUCCAGCAUCACUCCCCCCCUCCCCAGUGCUCCCAGUUCCAGCCAUCCCAACCCCCCGGGCUAUGCAGCCCCACUCAGGCAGCUCUUGGCUCACAGGCAGCAAGUCAUGCCCAAACCCCUCAGCCACGCAGAACCUGCUCUGGCCUCAGCCAGGAUAAGAAAUGAUCUUGCGACCCUCCCCACCCACAACAGAAACAUUUUCCUCUCCAGACAUUCCCCACUCAGGCUCUGGGCCGUCAGCCUCCGCAAAAAAUAAUAAAGGUUUACAGUACAGUUGUGUUUCUAUUGUUACAGGCACUUAAACAGGAUUCUUUGGUCCUUCAAAGGAAUUAGCCACUCUGGCUUCUCUCGGCAGAAACCACAAGUUUGCACACCCAUAACACCUCCUGCACUAAAAAAAACCAAAAAACAAAAAAAAAAACCCCACAAUUCAGAUCCAUUUCAGG
rnacentral:lncRNA from 1 species